GACGAACGCUGGCGGCGUGCCUAACACAUGCAAGUCGAACGGAAACGCCCUGCUUUUGUGGGCUGCUCGAGUGGCGAACGGGUGAGUAACACGUGAGUAACGUGCCCUUCACUUUGGGGUAUCUUCAGGAAACUGAGGCUAAUCCCAGAUAGGAUCUCCUGCUGCAGGGUGGGCGUGGGAUAGUUUCGGCGGUUGGGGAUGGACUCGCGGCUUAUCGGGUUGUUGGUGGGGUAGUGGCUUACCAAGGCUUUGACGGGUAGCCGGCCUGAGAGGGUGACCGGCCACAUUAGGACUGAGAUACGGCACAGACUCCUACGGGAGGCAGCAGUGGGGAAUAUUGCACAAUGGGAGGAAGCCUGAUGCAGCAACGCCGCGUGCGGGAUGACGGCCUUCGGGUUGUAAACCGCUUUCGCCUGUGACGAAGCGUGAGUGACGGUAAUGGGUAAAGAAGCACCGGCUAACUACGUG
rnacentral:rRNA from 1 species